rnacentral:rRNA from 1 species
CAAAAACAUGUCCUUUUGAUUUAAGGUCUGACCUGCCCAGUGAUAUUUAACGGCCGCGGUAUANCUGACCGUGCAAAGGUAGCAUAAUCAUUAGUCUUUUAAUAGAGGGCUGGAAUGAACGGUUUCACGAGGAACUGACUGUCUCAUUUUAUUUGUUUUAAAACUUAAUUUUUUAGUUAAAAAGCUAAAAUUUCAUUGGAAGACGAGAAGACCCUAUAGAUCUUUAUAUAUAUUUUGUUGGGGUGACAAAAAUAUAUAAUUAACUUUUUCAUUUAUUUACCAUUGAUAUAUGAAUAUUAGAUCCAUUAUUAUUGAUUGUUAGAAUAAGUUACCUUAGGGAUAACAGCGUAAUCCUCCUCCAGAGUUCAUAUUUACAGGGCUUGCGACCUCGAUGUUGGAUUAAGAUAAUAAUUAGGUGUAGCCGCUUAAUUUAUAGGUCUGUUCGACCUUUAAAUUCUUACAU